rnacentral:rRNA from 1 species
CAGGAUUCCCCUAGUAACGGCGAGUGAAGCGGGAAGAGCUCAAAUUUAAAAUCUGGCGGUGUAUUCCGUCCGAGUUGUAGUCUAGAGAAGCGUCAUCCGCGCCGGACCAUGUACAAGUCUCUUGGAACAGAGCGUCAUAGAGGGUGAGAAUCCCGUCCUUGACAUGGACUCCCGGUGCUUUGCGUUGCGCUCUCUACGAGUCGAGUUGUUUGGGAAUGCAGCUCAAAACGGGUGGUAAAUUCCAUCUAAAGCUAAAUAYUGGCGAGAGACCGAUAGCGAACAAGUACCGUGAGGGAAAGAUGAAAAGCACUUUGGAGAGAGAGUUAAACAGUACGUGAAAUUGUUGAAAUGGAAACGCUUGAAGUCAGUCGCGUUCUCCGGGAUUCAGCCUCGCUUCUGCGUGGUGCACUUCCCGGUCUACGGGCCAGCGUGGAUUUCAGCCGACGAAAAAAGGCUGGGGGAAUGUGGCACCUCCGGGUGUGUUAUAGCCCCUAGUCACACGCGUCGGUCGGGAUCGAGGACCUCAGUGCACGCUUCGGUUGUGCUUUGACGCUGGCGUAAUGGCUUUAAACGACCCGUCUUGAAACACGGACCAAGGAGUCUAACAUGUCUGCGAGUGUUUGGGUGGAAAACCCGGGCGCGUAAUGAAAGUGAUAGUUGGGAACCUUUCACGAGGGGCACCGACGCCCGGACCAGACCUUCUGUGACGGAUCCGAGGUAGAGCAUAUAUGUUGGGACCCGAAAGAUGGUGAACUAUGCCUGCAUAGGGUGAAGCCAGAGGAAACUCUGGUGGAGGCUCGUAGCGAUUCUGACGUGCAAAUCGAUCGUCAAAUGUGGGUAUAGGGGCGAAAGACUAAUCGAACCAUUAAGUGCUACUCGGUGGUUAAGAGGCGUCCGAAAGGAUC